rnacentral:rRNA from 1 species
GUGGGGAAUCUUCCGCAAUGGACGAAAGUCUGACGGAGCAACGCCGCGUGAGUGAUGAAGGUCUUCGGAUUGUAAAGCUCUGUUAAUCGGGACGAAAGAGCCUAGUGUGAAUAAUGCUAGGAAGUGACGGUACCGGAAUAGAAAGCCACGGCUAACUACGUGCCAGCAGCCGCGGUAAUACGUAGGUGGCAAGCGUUGUCCGGAAUUAUUGGGCGUAAAGCGCGCGCAGGCGGAUCUGCCAGUCUGUCUUAAAAGUUCGGGGCUUAACCCCGUGAUGGGAUGGAAACUACAGAUCUAGAGUAUCGGAGAGGAAAGUGGAAUUCCUAGUGUAGCGGUGAAAUGCGUAGAUAUUAGGAGGAACCCCAGUGGCGAAGGCGGCUUUCUGGACUGUAACUGACACUGAGGCUCGAAAGCCAGGGGAGCGAACGGGAUUAGAUACCCUGGUAGUCC